AAAGGAGACUUCGGUCUCUGAGUAGAGCGCGCACGGGUGAGUAACGCUGGAUGAUCUACCCUUGAGUUCGGGAUAACGGUGCGAAAGCGCCGCUAAUACCGUAUAACAAUCCAUUCAUCGUGGGUUCAAAGCAGGCCUCUUCAUGAAAGCUUGCGCUUGGGGAUGAGUCCGCGUCCAUUAGCU
rnacentral:rRNA from 1 species